GUCUUCGUGGCUCAGUUGGUUAGAGCGUUGGUCUCAUAAAAUGACUCGAUGGUUCACCAUUGGGAGAUUCCAAUACAUCCAAAGGUCGUGAGUUCGAGUCUCACCGAGGACA